CAAUUUUUAUGAAAAAUAUUUGCCCAGCCAAAGAAGGAAGCCAGUGAAAUUGUAAGGUUGCUGCUGAGUAGUUAAAUCCUCAGGUAGGACUUGUCUGGUGCCUCACAACUACCACCAGGACUACAGAACGAAACAAGUGGCCAAACUGAUCUUGGAGGUGGGAGAGCAAGCCGAUUGUAAUGGAGAGAAAAAUAUCCAUAAGUUCUGCCUAUUGAGGUUCAAAGAAG
rnacentral:lncRNA from 13 species